AGAGAGAGAGAGUCUCAACACUGUCGAUGUUCAUGCCAUUGACUAUGGUGACAUUCUUUCACGUGUCAUAAUUCGUGAUUGAUUAAGCUUUCCCUCCCACUUGUCACUUACUGUGAUUAAUUAAGAUACGUGCCGUCAUGAGAUCAAGUUGGAGGUACUUUUUUUCUAGUCCCCGUGUACCGUAGGCUGCGCUGUUCACAUAGGCUAACAGAUAGAUAGAGCGAGAGAGAAAGAGAGAGAGAGAGAGCAUAGUCAAAGAGGGAC
rnacentral:lncRNA from 1 species